rnacentral:rRNA from 1 species
CCUACGGGAGGCAGCAGUGGGGGAUAUUGCACAAUGGGGGGAACCCUGAUGCAGCGACGCCGCGUGGGUGAAGGAGCGUUUCGGCGCGUAAAGCCCUAUCGUCAGGGAAGAAAAAGGACGGUACCUGACUAAGAAGCCCCGGCUAACUACGGGCCGGCAGCCGCGGUAAUACGUGGGGGGCAAGCGUUAUCCGGAUUUACUGGGGGUAAAGGGGGCGCAGACGGCAGGGCAAGCCGGGAGUGAAAGCCCGGGGCUCAACCCCGGCGAGCGGUUGAAACUGGUUGUCUUGAGAUGUGGAGAGGUAUGCGGAAUGCGCAGUGUAGGGGUGAAAUGCUUAGAGAUUGAGCAGAACACUCAUUGCGAAGGCAGCAUACCGGAGGCGAUCUGACGCUGAGGCACGAAAGCGUGGGUAUCGAACAGGAUUAGAUACCCCUGUAGUC